UACAGAGGUCCCAAGCGUUGUUCGGAUUCACUGGGCGUAAAGGGUGCGUAGGUGGUGAGGUAAGUCGGAUGUGAAAGCUCCGAGCUCAACUCGGAAAUGGCAUUGGAAACUACCUUGCUCGAGGUUGAGGGGGACUGGAAUACUUGGUGUAGCAGUGAAAUGCGUAGAUAUCAAGUAGAACACCAGUGGCGAAGGCGACUCUUUGGCCUGUAACUGACACUGAGGCGCGGAAAGCGAUGGGGAGCAAACAGG
rnacentral:rRNA from 1 species